AGUUUGUUCGUUAUAAACUUCACGUGAAGAAAAAGAAAAUUGUUCUAUUUUUUCAUUUAUUUGGCGUGAAUUCAGUGUCACCAACCUGUGUCCAUUUGGCGGGAAGUGGAAGUAGAGCAUUUUGUUUAUUAUUAUUUGUUGAGGUUGAGUCUUUCAUGUUCAUGACAACCUAAAAAUUUUGAUUGGAAAAUGCAUAUAAGAUAAGGGGGUGGGAAAAUGGAAAUUAGUGGCUUUUUUUGCAGUUCUGUCUGUUAGUUUUGCGUUUUGCUCUGGCUGGGUCUCUUUUGUUUAAACAAUUAUAAUCAGCUGAAAGUGGUCUACAAAAAAACCAGGAAGGAAACGUAUUAUAGCCUUGUUGUGGCUAUGAAAGGCAAAAGAAAGAUACAUACCUAUAAAAAGUGUAUUGACUAGUUGGAAGAAACUCCACAUUGUCAAUGCAUAAUAAGAUAUUACUUUAUAAACAAAUAUCAAGACCUAGGAAUGGAACCUGGAUAAUAUAGUCAUCAAGAAGAUAGCAGGAAGUCAUGAGCAACAACAACUUCAUAAGUAUGAGAAUAUUGAGGAAAUCCACACUCCUCGAUAUCUACUACUGGACAAACUAGAAGAUUGAAGAGGACAAAGCCCUUUGAACUAGUUUGAGUGAUAGGUGAUAGUGAAAAGCAGAGCGUAGUGCUUGUGUGCUUGUGUAUGUUAGAAUAGUGCACGAUCUUGUUAGAUUAGAUAAGAGACGCUAUGGGGUAAGCUCUUCAUUUUAAGGAACAGUAGUAAUUUAGGUUAAAUUAAAUUUGCUCAUUGGUCAGUUAUGACCAGAUUGUAAUUCU